rnacentral:lncRNA from 10 species
CCAAGGAUCUUGAAUGAUCUUUGAAGAAUGAAAUAAAUCAUAUCACUCUGCAGGUUAAAUCAUUUCAUUGACUUGCUAUUGCACUUAAACUCCAAACUCCUUCUUUUGGGUUUAUAUGUCUUAUAGAAGUUGACCCCUAUCUCCCCAUGUAACCAGGGCUUAAGCUUUUCUUUGCAUCAUUCAAACUGCCUUCUUUCUUGCUUUAGAGUCAUUGUUCUAGCUGUCCUUCUGCCUGAAAUGGUCCCUAGAUCUUUGCAUGGACAUGUACAUUCUGACAUCCAGAACACAGAAUUGUCACCUUCUGUGCUACUCCGUUUUCAUGCUGCUGAUAAAGACUGGGUAAUUUAUACAGGAAAAAGGUUUAAUGAACUCACACUUCCACAUGGCUGAGGAGGCCUCACAAUAAUGGUGAAAGGCAAGGAGGAGCAAGUCACGUCUUACAUGAAUGGCAGCAGGCAAAGAGAGAGCUUGUGCAGGGAAACUCCACCUUAUAAAGUCAUCAGAUCUCAUGAGACUUAUUCACUAUCAUAAGAACAGCAUGGGAAAGACCUGCCUCCAUGAUUCAGUUACCUCCCACUGGGUCCCUCCCACAACACCUGGGAAUUCAAAAUGAGAUUCAGGUGGGGACACAGCCAAACCAUAUCACCUUCCCAAAAAGAGUUUUCCUGAUCACCCUAUCACUCCCUCCCUCUCAUAACACCCUGUUUCAUAGUCUACAUGAAACAUAUCACUAUGUUAAUUAUACUUUUAAUUUAUGUUUUUACUUGUUUAUUUCAGAGGCCAGGCUAACAGGGACUGCUGAUGGGGAAAUAAAGAAAUAAUCAAGGAUGAAUCCUAUAUCUGGGGCUUGAGCAGAUACGUUCAAGUCCUGACACUGGUACCUGUGAAUGUGAUCUUAUCUGGAAAGAGAGACUUUUUGGCCUAUGAGAUGUGGGGGCCCCAAAUCCAAUGACUGAAGUCAAUGGAAGAAGAUGAGAGGAUGCACAGAGAGACACACAAAGAGAAGAGCACCAUGUGUAGAUGGAGGCACAGGUUGGAGCGAUGCAGCUACAAGCCAAGGAACACCAAGGAACUAGAAAGAGGCAUUAAGAAUCCUUCCUUAGAGCCUUCAGAGGGUAGCUGGCCCUGCUGACACCUUAAUUUUGGACUUCUAGCCUCUAGAAUUAUGAGUGAAUACAUUUCUGUUAUUUUAAGCCACAGAAGUGGUAAUUUGUUAUAGCAAUGCUUGGGAACAAAUACAUAUACCAAUAUGGUUCUAUUAGCUAGUAUACUCUAAUUUUAUAGUCGGUAAUAUCAAGGGAGUAACACAAGGUAUCUGCACUACAGAAGCAGAUGUCUGAUUACUAGGUUCUGUGAUGAAACUUUGUAUUUCAAAAAAUGGAUCCCCUUCAUUCUCUCCUUGUUUCUAUGUCUGCUGUCCUGAAGCCAGAUGUGUUACCAUGAUGUCUUUAUACUAAUAUACUAACACAGCAGUUCUCAAAGCACUGUUCAUGGACACUUUGAGCUCCCUGAGACUCUUCCAGGGGGAGGCCAAAUCUAUUCUCAUACUUUCCCUUUUCACUGUGUUGACAUUUGCAGUGAUAGUGCAGAAGCAACGAUAGGCAAAACUGCUGACACCUUAGGACAAAUGGCAGUACCAGCAAUUGCACUAGUAGACAUCUUAUUCUUCGUCUUCAUGACUGGCAGAAAACAAACAAACAUAAAAAGAAUUUGACUUAAGAAUGACCUUGAUGAAGCAGCAACAUGAUUUAUUAAAUCUUUAUCCUUCAGUACAAGUCUUUUUAAUAUUGUGUGUGAUGUUAUGGGGAG